GUGCUCGCUUUGGCAGCACACACACUAAAAUUGGAAUGAUACAGAGAAGAUUAGCAUGGCUCUUGCACACAGAUGACACGUAAAUUUGUGAAGGAUUCCAUAAAUUU
rnacentral:snRNA from 1 species